CAAGGCUUGACAUGUAUCUGACGAUCUGUGAAAGCAGGUUUUCUUUUCGGAGACGGAUACACAGGUGGUGCAUGGUUGUCGUCAGCUCGUGUCGUGAGAUGUUGGGUCAAGUCCCGCAACGAGCGCAACCCUUAUUGCUAGUUGCCAUCAUUAAGUUGGGCACUCUAGCGAGACUGCCGGUGACAAACCGGAGGAAGGUGGGGAUGACGUCAAAUCAUCAUGCCCCUUAUGUCUUGGGCUACACACGUGCUACAAUGGCCAGUACAACGGGUUGCGAAGGGGUGACCUGGAGCCAAUCCCACAAAACUGGUCUCAGUUCGGAUUGUAGGCUGCAAUUCGCCUACAUGAAGUUGGAAUCGCUAGUAAUCGUGGAUCAGCAUGCCGCGGUGAAUACGUUCCC
rnacentral:rRNA from 1 species